ensembl:snoRNA SNORD34 Small nucleolar RNA SNORD34
UGGCGUCGGUGAUGUUCUACAAUUACCUACAUUGUUUGAUCCCUGUGAAAACAGCACCGGCUGAGACGCCU